rnacentral:rRNA from 1 species
UACGUAGGGCGCAAGCGUUGUCCGGAAUUAUUGGGCGUAAAGAGCUCGUAGGCGGCCUGUCGCGUCCGCUGUGAAAUCCCGGGGCUCAACCCCGGGCGUGCAGUGGAUACGGGCUGGCUGGAGGCAGGCAGGGGAGAACGGAAUUCCUGGUGUAGCGGUGAAAUGCGUAGAUAUCAGGAGGAACACCUGUGGUGUAGACGGCUUUCUGGACCAUAGCUGACGCUGAGACACGAAAGCGUGGGUAGCAAACAGG